UGAGCUUGAUCCUGGCUCAGGAUGAACGCUAGCGGCAGGCUUAACACAUGCAAGUCGAGGGGUAUAAGUCUUCGGAUUUAGAGACCGGCGCACGGGUGCGUAACGCGUAUGCAAUCUACCUUUUACAGAGGGAUAGCCCAGAGAAAUUUGGAUUAAUACCUCAUAGCAUAGCAGCUUCGCAUGAAGCCACUAUUAAAGUCACAACGGUAAAAGAUGAGCAUGCGUCCCAUUAGCUAGUUGGUAAGGUAACGGCUUACCAAGGCUACGAUGGGUAGGGGUCCUGAGAGGGAGAUCCCCCACACUGGUACUGAGACACGGACCAGACUCCUACGGGAGGCAGCAGUGAGGAAUAUUGGACAAUGGGCGCAAGCCUGAUCCAGCCAUGCCGCGUGCAGGAUGACGGUCCUAUGGAUUGUAAACUGCUUUUAUACGAGAAGAAACACUCCUUCGUGAAGGAGCUGACGGUAUCG
rnacentral:rRNA from 5 species